CUUAAGCUCCGCCACCGCCGUGGUCAUUCGAACUCAUCUCUGCCGCCGCCGUUCUCACUUGGGGUACAUUAUGCUUCCACUGGCUCCUCCUCAUCCUUGCCUUUUUUUUGUUCAAUUGCUCUAUUCCCCCUCAUUUCAGUCUCUCAAUUUACAUGAAUUGUGUUUGAAUUAUCUAAUUAUUGCUCUCUUGCUCUGUCCUCUCCUCUCUUCUCUCCCGCUGAAACUGUAAAUUAAUUAACCCUAAUUUUCAAUGUCGAAUUUUGGCUUAAAAGAACCUUAAAAAUGCUUUAAAUUUAUCUCUGAUUGUAUCCUACAAAUUUGGUGUUGGUUCAGGCUCGAGACUAAGAAACCUGAAAUUUUUGUUCAUGGGUUUUGCUUAGGUUUUAAACUAAAUUUAAGAUUUCACUGUAAUUCGUUCCUUGGUGUAACACGUUGUAUUUGGGUUUGUAGAUUCAAGAUUUGCUUGUCAACUUUUUGAACAUUGUGGUGAGUUUUGACACUGAUUUUGGUGGAAUUCGGGUUGUUUAUCGCUCUGGCGUUGGUGAGGCUCGUGGUGUCGAGCUUCGUAAUGUUAUGGAAGCCAUGGAUGUGCUAGGAAUACUUGAUUAUGGGCUUGCAAGGACCGCUGACUUAUUCAUCAAGCAUGUCAUUGCUCCUGCAGUGAAAUUUAACUCCCCUGUUUCGUUUCUGGAAGAAUCUAGUGGUAGCUUGGUCGAGAGCAGUGACAAAAUCUUGAAGAUAGUCUCAAGUCUAGAGCCGAAGACAGAUGACAUUGAUAGCGAUGCUCUAUUCUCAAGAAUGACGAUAGUUGUUAAGUUUAUCCACCAGUAUAUAUGUCUUGAAAAUGGUCCUUGGAUGCGUUGUUUCGGAAGGUUGCGUGGCCAAGAAUGUCUGAGCUUAUUAUUUCUAACUUCCUCUCAAAGGAGAUUAUGUUCAUUUCCAAAUCUGAUAAGAAUGAUGAAAGAUUAAGCAACUUUGCUGAUAACGUGGAGGUACACUUUGCUGUGAGGAAAAAGAGAGAAAUGCUGGCAAAUGCUAGACAGUUGAUUCUACGAUGUGACUUUACUGUUCCAGAAGUCAACUCUCAUUCAACCUGUCUUAUAUCUUUGUGCUCAUCUGCUGGAAUUACGUACUAACAAUUAGCUCUCAGGAGUUUAGCAGCAAAGGACCUAAGUUCGGAAAUAACAGAUACACUGAUUGUGCUGUCAAUUUGCUAUUUUCGUCAGAGAAGUGUAUAGUGUCCCUUGCUGCUUGUCAGUUGAUGAAGUUGGUGCAUCAAACACUUCAAGAUGUUUGUUUGUCAUCCCCAAGAGUGGCGUUGGAAUUCUAUCAUGCUGCAAGGGAUGUUCUGUUGCUGUAUGAAGCUACCAUUCCAAUCAAGAGCUAUGGGGGGUUUUUGUGCUGUUACAUAUCUAAGUUUUGCCCACAAGGGUUAAAGCAAGUCCUUGUAACAGGCGGAAUUCCAUCAAUUAAGGAUGGAUGUAAUGCAGAUGCCGUAUAUCAUGCAUGCUUUGAAAAGAUUGUGCGACAAAAUGAGAAAUAUUAUGCGACAAAAUUAUAUACCGUAAUUCUUUAGUCUUCCCAAUUUCUUCUUUUCUUUGUUCGUUCCCUUAAUUCCUCUGUUUUACACAGGCUUGAGAGAGCCUGGGAUCUGUAGUGCAGCAGCUACCCCCAACUAAGCCCCCUGUGAGAAUGACAUAUGUCAGACGUAAGAGGAAGGAUAAAUCAGGAAUUACAACUUAAUGGUGUCAGCAUUCUGUUAGAAAAUACCGUGAGCAGCAAGUUGGUGAUUGUCACGCAUGAGAGAGGAGUUGUCAGAGCUAGCACUAUAAAUAAGGCAGGAGCCGUAAAAGAAUGUUAUGUGAUAUAUUCUGUCUUUUUCUUGUCCUUCUACCUCAGUUGUAUGCACCAUUGGUGAUUUAAUAGCUUCAAAUACAACUAUUUCUAUCCUAGCCUUAAUAUUAUUACCUUUGUUUCUGGGUACAGAUUUGCAUCCACUAAUUCCAUAACAAACUUGGAGUUGGUGGAAAAACCUGACUCCUUGGUAGGAGUUCGACCUGCUGUUUCUGGAGAUGGAACUGCGUUAGAAGUACUCAUUAAGUGGGAUAACCUGCCAGAUUAUGAGGCAACUUGGGAAGAUUUCCUUGCCGUCCAGACCAGAUUUCCGGCUUUUCACCUUGAGGACAAGGUGACUCUAUUAUUUACUUGUGGACAAGGGAGACAAAGUUCCCACAUGCUGUAUGGAAGGCUGGUCAUGGUCUAAUUGCUCUUCUUUUGUGAAACUUUGAUGUUGUUAAUAAUAUAUGGCUUGAGCCCUUUCCUGGGAGGUU